rnacentral:rRNA from 1 species
GACGAACGCUGGCGGCGUGCUUAACACAUGCAAGUCGAACGGAAAGGCCCUGCUUUUGUGGGGUGCUCGAGUGGCGAACGGGUGAGUAACACGUGAGUAACCUGCCCUUGACUUUGGGAUAACUUCAGGAAACUGGGGCUAAUACCGGAUAGGAGCUCCUGCUGCAUGGUGGGGGUUGGAAAGUUUCGGCGGUUGGGGAUGGACUCGCGGCUUAUCAGCUUGUUGGUGGGGUAGUGGCUUACCAAGGCUUUGACGGGUAGCCGGCCUGAGAGGGUGACCGGCCACAUUGGGACUGAGAUACGGCCCAGACUCCUAAGGGAGGCAGCAGUGGGGAAUAUUGCACAAUGGGCGGAAGCCUGAUGCAGCAACGCCGCGUGCGGGAUGACGGCCUUCGGGUUGUAAACCGCUUUCGCCUGUGACGAAGCGUGAGUGACGGUAAUGGGUAAAGAAGCACCAGCUAACUACGUG